UCAGCAGUGGUAUCUGUGAGGGAGUUCCAAAUCAGCGUGGGCAAAAACAUUCUGGAGUCAGAAUCGGCUGGCUGGCUGUUUUGGUGUUGCUGUCGCUACCAGGUUUCACCGCGGCUCAGCUGGUAACCUCAAAUGUUCUGUAAAUCCUGCCUCAACAGUCAACCGUCGCCAUCUGGACGUAUUAUAUUCAAUCCGUUUCAUUUGAAACCGGCUAUAGUCGCGUUCCGGCGAACGGUCAACGUGUACGUGGCUGAUAACUCUGCUGCUCGAGGCUGUGGUUUAGGGAAAAGCUGGAGUUAUUGAUAACGCACAGCGCUGAAGCUUCCAAAAAACCGCAACGAAUCAUCUGGAUUAAGAUCAGACGACUAGGUCGUGUCGAUCUACUGCUGGACGCCGUUACUUGGUCUGCCAUUUAGUUGCUAUUGUCAGGUCAUCCGACGUUACAUGGCGGCUCCGAAGUGUUGCACUCUGUUAUGCUCGUUGCUUCUCGCCCACGACGCCGAUCCAUUUGUCGGGGACCUCAAAUACUUGCAGCAAUGACUACACUACUCAGUUGGUUUUAGUU